GGGCUGGAGCUCAGUGGCAGUGCACUUGCCUAGCAUGUAUGGGGCCUGGGUUCCAUCCUCAGCACCACA
rnacentral:tRNA from 1 species